AACGAACGCUGGCGGCAUGCCUAACACAUGCAAGUCGAACGAGACCUUCGGGGCUAGUGGCGCACGGGUGCGUAACACGUGGGAACCUGCCCUUAGGUUCGGAAUAACUCCCCGAAAGGUGUGCUAAUACCGGAUAAUGUCUUCGGACCAAAGAUUUAUCGCCUUUGGAUGGGCCCGCGUUGGAUUAGCUAGUUGGUAGGGUAAAAGCCUACCAAGGCGACGAUCCAUAGCUGGUCUGAGAGGAUGAUCAGUCACACUGGGACUGAGACACGGCCCAGACUCCUACGGGAGGCAGCAGUGGGGAAUAUUGGACAAUGGGCGAAAGCCUGAUCCAGCAAUGCCGCGUGAGUGAUGAAGGCCUUAGGGUUGUAAAGCUCUUUUACCCGGGAUGAUAAUGACAGUACCGGGAGAAUAAGCUCCGGCUAACUCCGUG
rnacentral:rRNA from 1 species